CUCAGAGGAACAAUAGAUGGCACACCUGAGGCUGGGCACAUCAUUGUCAUAACCAACAUGGUGUUCACUGGUGAUCUUGACCAGAGUGCUUUCCACAGAGUGGUGGUGGAGAAAUUUUGGUAGGAGUGGAUUCAAAAAGGAAUGGGAGGAGUUGAAAUGGACGUUGAGAGCGAGAAAUUUCUUUUAAGGAGUUUCGCUGUAACUGGGAAGAGAGAGAUCUGACCGUACGUAGAGGGUGUCGUGAGAUCAAGAGGGUCAUCUUUGCUUUGUUUUACAGUGGGAGAGAUUAUGGUAGAGUUGUAUGCUGAUGGAAACUGUCCAGUAUAGAGAGAAAAGCUGACACUGGGGUAAAAAGAGGAGACUGCUGGAGCUGUAUCCUGGAGUAGGACAGAAGGAGGAAGACCUAGCGCACAAGGGGAGCGAUUGACCUUGAACAGAUCACUCCUCCUAACCAGAGGGCACGUGCUACCCACAGUACAGCAGACGCAUCUCCCUGCUGAUUAGGCACCGGCUUCCUCCUCCGUGAAAGAAUGGAGCAGGAAUGCACCGUCGCCGAGAUCUCUCCCAGUUCUGACACGGAGCCAGACUUUGUUGUGAAAAAGAGCAAAGCAUUUUCUUCUAACUCCCAAAGCUGGGCUUCUAUGUACAGGGGCCAAGUCUGGUGGCAUCGGAUGGUUAAGUUUGCCUGUCGAAGUCAUGGGAUAUGGAAGGAGGAUUAUACCUGUCAGAAAUGGGGCCUCAUAAGCAAGUACGGCGGUUCUCCAUUGAAGCCCUCACAACAUCACAACUCUUGGUCUCAUCUCCGUGAUGCCCCGAGCUUCCACUUUUUUGCCCCAACCUCCCACAGCUCUCGAUGGGCAGAUCUUCCCAGUGGGAACUGGAGGGCGAAAAGGACUGUAAAGGGAUCUUACUUGGGAAGGUACUGCAGUGGUCCAGGUGAGCUAUGUCACUGCCCUCAUUCAUGACCUCAUCCAAGGCCAUGGCCAAAGAGUAACCAAACAGCAAUGUGUUUGAGUCUUCACAACGGCCACCGAGUCCUUUGUACCAACCUCCUAUGCCAGGCCCCAAGCUCUGCUGUUCCCUUGCUGGGUAACCUGGGCAAGCCCGCUCACACUCUUGGCCUCGGCCUCCUCAUUUUUAAAAUAUGAUGGAGGUGAUAGUGGUGGGGGAUGGGUGGAGAGUUUGGUUUCUUUUUAUUUGUUUGUUUUGUUUGCUUUGUUUUUUGAUAUGGGAGUGAAGAAAUGGGGGAGAGGACAGGACCAGGUUAGAUUCUCUCAAAUGAUUAUCCAGCCAUCAGAUUCUAAGGCUUUACAUUGUAGUGUUUUCUCACAGGAAUGCUGCAGCUCCCAG
rnacentral:lncRNA from 1 species